AUUGAACGCUGGCGGCAUGCUUUACACAUGCAAGUCGAACGGCAGCGCGGGCUUCGGCCUGGCGGCGAGUGGCGAACGGGUGAGUAAUGCAUCGGAACGUGCCCAGUCGUGGGGGAUAGCCCGGCGAAAGCCGGAUUAAUACCGCAUACGACCUGAGGGUGAAAGCGGGGGACCGAAAGGCCUCGCGCUAUUGGAGCGGCCGAUGUCGGGUUAGCUAGUUGGUGUGGUAAAGGCUUACCAAGGCGACGAUCCGUAGCUGGUCUGAGAGGACGACCAGCCACACUGGGACUGAGACACGGCCCAGACUCCUACGGGAGGCAGCAGUGGGGAAUUUUGGACAAUGGGGGCAACCCUGAUCCAGCCAUGCCGCGUGCGAGAAGAAGGCCUUCGGGUUGUAAACCGCUUUUGUUCGGGAAGAAAUCCUCUGGGCUAAUACCCCGGGGGGAUGACGGUACCGGAAGAAUAAGCACCGGCUAACUACGUG
rnacentral:rRNA from 1 species